rnacentral:lncRNA from 1 species
GCUGGCAGGUCCGCUGAGGCCGAGAGGUCCUGCGGGGCAGCCAGGCCCGGCAGCUCAGGAGUGCUAAGCUGGGACCACAUUCCCACCCAAGGGCCGCCGUCCUCCCCGGUGUCCAGGCCCAACACGGCCUGAGCCUGCUCCGCCUCAGUUUCCCCACUCUGAACUGAGGCUGCUGCUCUCUCGGGGCCGUUCCAGCACUGACUGGGGAGUGGGGGCUUUGUUCCCUUCAAGUCCUGUUCAUGGAGACUGCGACACCCAUGCCUCCCUCCCACCUGGACUCUGUCCUGUGGCACCAGGGUCGGGAGCAGCGCCAGGCACAGCAGGGAGCCAGAGCAGGAGAUCAGUGCAGCCCUCUGCCUGGGAGAGUGAAGUGGACCCUGUGUUGACACAUGGAAGACGUCGACAUGGCAGAGGAGCAGCUCACCAAAUGGCGGCCAUGGCGUUCCCUGCCAGCUGCCAGCACAGCCGUGAACAAGGCUUGGGGUCACACUUGCCGCGGGAUGGACACGCACGGUAGCGGCGUGGGACCCAUCUGCCUCUCUCUGAGUAGGAAACCCGCAGGUGCCACACACAGGUGCAGGGAAGGGGCGGGUCCCGGGUCUGAGGGUGGGCGGAGGGUACUGCUGCCGUUCCCCACACACGCAGCACACGCUGACCUGCACACUCCAGGCGCCCGCCCGGCCCA